rnacentral:rRNA from 1 species
GACGAACGCUGGCGGCGUGCUUAACACAUGCAAGUCGAACGGAAAGGCCCCUUUGGGGGUCCUCGAGUGGCGAACGGGUGAGUAACACGUGAGUAACCUGCCCUUUACUUCGGGAUAACUUCAGGAAACUGGGGCUAAUACCGGAUAGGAAUCCUUGCUGCAUGGUGGGGGUUGGAAAGCUUCGGCGGUUUUGGAUGGACUCGCGGCUUAUCAGCUUGUUGGUGGGGUAGUGGCUUACCAAGGCUUUGACGGGUAGCCGGCCUGAGAGGGCGACCGGCCACAUUGGGACUGAGAUACGGCACAGACUCCUAAGGGAGGCAGCAGUGGGGAAGAUUGCACAAUGGGCGGAAGCCUGAUGCAGCAAGGCCGCGUGCGGGAUGACGGGCUUCGGGUUGUAAACCGCUUUCAGCAGGGGCGAAGCUUGUGGUGACGGUACCUGCAGAAGAAGCACCGGCUAACUACGUG